rnacentral:rRNA from 1 species
GGUUAAGUGACUAAGCGUACACGGUGGAUGCCUGGGCAGUCAGAGGCGAUGAAGGACGUACUAACUUGCGAUAAGCGCAGAUAAGGCAGUAAGAGCCGUUUGAGUCUGCGAUUUCCGAAUGGGGAAACCCAACUGCAUAAGCAGUUACUGUUAACUGAAUACAUAGGUUAACAGAGCAAACCGGGGGAACUGAAACAUCUAAGUACCCCGAGGAGAAGAAAUCAACCGAGAUUCCGGUAGUAGCGGCGAGCGAACCUGGAUUAGCCCUUAAGCACUCGGUGAAGUAGGUGAACAAGCUGGAAAGCUUGGCGAUACAGGGUGAUAGCCCCGUAACCGACGCUUCAUCGAGCGUGAAAUCGAGUAGGGCGGGACACGUGAUAUCCUGUCUGAAUAUGGGGGGACCAUCCUCCAAGGCUAAAUACUCCUGACUGACCGAUAGUGAACCAGUACCGUGAGGGAAAGGCGAAAAGAACCCCUGUGAGGGGAGUGAAAUAGAACCUGAAACCGUGUACGUACAAGCAGUAGGAGCACCUUCGUGGUGUGACUGCGUACCUUUUGUAUAAUGGGUCAGCGACUUAUAUUCAGUGGCAAGGUUAACCGUAUAGGGGAGCCGUAGCGAAAGCGAGUCUUAACUGGGCGCUCAGUCUCUGGAUAUAGACCCGAAACCGGGUGAUCUAGCCAUGGGCAGGUUGAAGGUUGAGUAACAUCAACUGGAGGACCGAACCGACUAAUGUUGAAAAAUUAGCGGAUGACUUGUGGCUAGGGGUGAAAGGCCAAUCAAACUCGGAGAUAGCUGGUUCUCCCCGAAAGCUAUUUAGGUAGCGCCUCGGACGAAUACUACUGGGGGUAGAGCACUGUUAAGGCUAGGGGGUCAUCCCGACUUACCAACCCUUUGCAAACUCCGAAUACCAGUAAGUACUAUCCGGGAGACACACGGCGGGUGCUAACGUCCGUCGUGGAGAGGGAAACAACCCAGACCGCCAGCUAAGGUCCCAAAGUAUUGCUAAGUGGGAAACGAUGUGGGAAGGCUCAGACAGCUAGGAUGUUGGCUUAGAAGCAGCCAUCAUUUAAAGAAAGCGUAAUAGCUCACUAGUCGAGUCGGCCUGCGCGGAAGAUGUAACGGGGCUAAGCAAUACACCGAAGCUGCGGCAAUGUCUUUUAGAUAUUGGGUAGGGGAGCGUUCUGUAAGCCGUUGAAGGUGAAUCGUAAGGUUUGCUGGAGGUAUCAGAAGUGCGAAUGCUGACAUGAGUAACGACAAAGGGGGUGAAAAACCUCCUCGCCGGAAGACCAAGGGUUCCUGUCCAACGUUAAUCGGGGCAGGGUGAGUCGACCCCUAAGGUGAGGCCGAAAGGCGUAAUCGAUGGGAAA